AAAAAUGAGCAUCAACAAACUACUUCCAAAUGGCAAACAUCCAGAGAUAAAGUACUUUCAGCCACGAUUAUCUAAAAAUUCGUCUGAAACUCUACUCUCCAACAGACUAGGAUUACAAGAGACAACUGCAUAACAAGAAGCCAAAAUUGCUGCUAUCCCCAUAAAAAAACCCAACCAACCAACCAACCAAAAAACCCCAGAAAAACAACAAAACUAAACCAAGGGGGAUGUCUUUCCACUUCCAGUUUGUGGUAAAAAUGCUCGGAAUUAAUGUUUACAAAUGUGGCAAACAGACCUGCAAACAGAAGUACCAAGAAUUCAAAUCACCUCCUCUUAUGUCUUGGAAAUAGAGACUAUGACUUCCCUAGAUCUUAACAUAGUCCAGCUGUAGUGUGACACCUCAUUUUACUUGGCUGGAGGCAGAUCAUGUAGACUAAAGAAUGUGCAGUCUGCAAAAGCUUUCUUUAAAUCUCAUUAAAUUCUUGUUUUAAGAAUCAAAAAACCGCUUACCUGUUCACUUCCAAAGUAUGUAGGGAGAAACUGACAUUCUUAAAUAGAAACAAUCAAGAAAAUACACACUCUCACAGCCAAGCAACUUACAAACUACAGGAGAAAAGGAAAUAGCAAAAGGAAAAGUGUGACACCUCACAGGCAUUAUCUCCAAGUCUCUCUGCUUUAGGAAUUUGGCCCUUUUCUGCUUUACCUCAUGGUUCAGUAUCAUGUGAAGUACAUCACCUAUGGUUCAAUCCGAUCCCCACUUUCAAAAGCCUAACUAGAGGUUCCCCUCUACUCUGACAUGUCUUCAACACCCUUGUAGCUGCAUUUAAGACAAAACCUGGGGACUGGAAAUAGGCAAAAAUAGUCAAAUUUUAAUUUUCAAAGCACAAAACUGAGCUGGGAAUGUACGCUGAAAUAAUCUACAAAGUCACUGAGGCCUGUUGGAAAGCACGUCUACUUAAAAAUAAAUAUUGACUUCCAAAAUAACUUUAGAAAUUAUUUUAAGACACUUAUGUCUACUGUACAGUCUGAACAAUGGAGGAGAAACCGGAAUUUUUAAAAAACCAACCACAUUUCGUUAUCACAACACAGUUUUCAAACUUCUGUUCUACCAGACAAUGGUAGGCAAAGCAAAUGGGACUCUACAAAAGACUUCAGUUCUUCAGAGACAGUAAUGUCCCCUGGAAAAACAAAUGCCACCAGCUGGAUCUUCCAUUCAUGUACUUCCAUGCUAGUUCCAUGCCUGAGUCAUGCCUCCAUGUAAACAGAAUGACAUUUGCAGUAAGCCCCAAGAGUAAAUCCAUGACAAUUACUUAGAAAUAAAAAAAAAAAGUAAAACCCAGAGGAUUUAUUGCACAAAAUUCAGUACGGCAUUAAUAUAUACACUAGCAUACAGGGAACUAUUACUUUCUGUACAACUUCACUGUUGGAAGCUGCAUUCGUAGAGAUAAAAGUGACACAUAAAUGUUUCUUUCACUUGCACUUGAUAUUAAUAAAGUAAUACAAUCUGAUUUAUCUGAGCAGUAGUCAAGUUUAAAUUUUUCAAAUCACCUAAGACUUUUCACAUUCUAACUGCUGUCUUAAUUGCUCCCCAAAAUUGCAGUGGAAGCUAACUAGGAUUUUUUGCACAGGCUCUACCACAAUCUUCUAUGGUCACAUCUCCAAUCCUCUAUACAUGUAUUGCAGAAAGGAAGAAUCACAUUCUCUGACUCUAGACCAUCACAUAUCUUCAGUUAAAAAUGUGUUAUUUUUCAUCAGGCAUAUGAUCUGUCUUAUGGAUAACAGUAUUUCAUUAUCUAUAAACAAGCAGCUUUAGGUAACGAAUUAUUUUGGAACGCCAGCUGUGCACUGCAAGAUGUAUAGAAAAACAACCCUCACCUCUCAUACUGCAUGCACUGUAAACGUACCACACAAUCUAGCAAGUGACAUUAUUUUUGUCUUCCGCAAAUAUGCAGUCAAUGAACCUUUACCCCUGCAAGUUCUACCUUCCCCUCCUUUCCUGAUUUGCUUUUCUAGUUAACACAAUUUUCAAAAGCAGAGUACUUGUGUCUACCGGACGGGACAUAAUGCUCAUAUUUCUUUGGCUUUAACCCACUUCAUGUGGCUUGAGAGUUUGCCAAAUAUGUGAGUAUUUUAAAAAUAACUGCUUUCAAAAUUUAUUGCACCCACUACGUGUGCUUGUCAUAAACAACAGCAGUAGACUAUCUCAGAGAGCUGCAUAUAAUAAUGGACUGGCAAAGACAAUUCCAAUUCUGUAUGUUUUACAAUUGUACAGCGAUCACGAUUAGUCAAUGGCCUCACAGGAGAAAGAAACAUCCUUCUGACAACAAUUUUUCCUAGUCCACUGCAGCGACAUUCAACCCUGAUGAGGCGAUUUUUACCCUUAUGCCCAUUUUACAGACUCGAACGGUGCCCAAGGUCACUAGACAACAAUGAGAAGAGGCAGCCGAGUAAACCAGAAUUCCCGAUUUCCGCACUAUCCAAAUUAGGGCAUGAUGUCAACGAAAUAUUAAAUUACUGCUGUUGUGUCCCUAGCCCAGGAACUUGCCCGACCCGGCUAGGCCCUCGAUGUUCUCCACACAGCCAGAAAACGGCCACCUAAAUCCCCAGCGAGCCAUCCU